rnacentral:rRNA from 1 species
UACGGAGGGUGCAAGCGUUAUCCGGAUUCACUGGGUUUAAAGGGUGCGUAGGUGGGCAAGUAAGUCAGUGGUGAAAUCUCCGGGCUUAACUCGGAAACUGCCAUUGAUACUAUCUGUCUUGAAUACCGUGGAGGUCAGCGGAAUAUGUCAUGUAGCGGUGAAAUGCUUAGAUAUGACAUAGAAUACCAAUUGCGAAGGCAGCUGGCUACACGAGCAUUGACACUCAGGCACGAAAGCGUGGGGAUCAAACAGG